rnacentral:rRNA from 1 species
UACAGAGGUCUCAAGCGUUGUUCGGAUUCAUUGGGCGUAAAGAGCGUGUAGGCGGCCAGAUAGGUCGGUUGUGAAAACUGGAGGCUCAACCUCCAGACGUCGACCGAAACCAUCUGGCUAGAGUCCGGAAGAGGAGAGUGGAAUUCCUGGUGUAGCGGUGAAAUGCGCAGAUAUCAGGAAGAACACCCGUGGCGAAGGCGGCUCUCUGGGACGGUACUGACGCUGAGACGCGAAAGCGUGGGGAGCGAACAGG